UUGAACGCUGGCGGCAGGCCUAACACAUGCAAGUCGAGCGGUAACACAGAGAGCUUGCUCUCGGGUGACGAGCGGCGGACGGGUGAGUAAUGUCUGGGAAACUGCCUGAUGGAGGGGGAUAACUACUGGAAACGGUAGCUAAUACCGCAUAACGUCGCAAGACCAAAGUGGGGGACCUUCGGGCCUCAUGCCAUCAGAUGUGCCCAGAUGGGAUUAGCUAGUAGGUGGGGUAACGGCUCACCUAGGCGACGAUCCCUAGCUGGUCUGAGAGGAUGACCAGCCACACUGGAACUGAGACACGGUCCAGACUCCUACGGGAGGCAGCAGUGGGGAAUAUUGCACAAUGGGCGCAAGCCUGAUGCAGCCAUGCCGCGUGUGUGAAGAAGGCCUUCGGGUUGUAAAGCACUUUCAGCGGGGAGGAAGGCGGUGAGGUUAAUAACCUCAUCGAUUGACGUUACCCGCAGAAGAAGCACCGGCUAACUCCGUGCCAGCAGCCGCGGUAAUACGGAGGGUGCAAGCGUUAAUCGGAAUUACUGGGCGUAAAGCGCACGCAGGCGGUCUGUCAAGUCGGAUGUGAAAUCCCCGGGCUCAACCUGGGAACUGCAUUCGAAACUGGCAGGCUAGAGUCUUGUAGAGGGGGGUAGAAUUCCAGGUGUAGCGGUGAAAUGCGUAGAGAUCUGGAGGAAUACCGGUGGCGAAGGCGGCCCCCUGGACAAAGACUGACGCUCAGGUGCGAAAGCGUGGGGAGCAAACAGGAUUAGAUACCCUGGUAGUCCACGCUGUAAACGAUGGAUACUAGGUGUGGGGGGACUGACCCCUUCCGUGCCGCAGUUAACACAGUAAGUAUCCCACCUGGGGAGUACGAUCGCAAGGUUGAAACUCAAAGGAAUUGACGGGGGCCCGCACAAGCGGUGGAGCAUGUGGUUUAAUUCGAUGCAACGCGAAGAACCUUACCUGGUCUUGACAUCCACAGAACUUUCCAGAGAUGGAUUGGUGCCUUCGGGAACUGUGAGACAGGUGCUGCAUGGCUGUCGUCAGCUCGUGUUGUGAAAUGUUGGGUUAAGUCCCGCAACGAGCGCAACCCUUAUCCUUUGUUGCCAGCGGUUAGGCCGGGAACUCAAAGGAGACUGCCAGUGAUAAACUGGAGGAAGGUGGGGAUGACGUCAAGUCAUCAUGGCCCUUACGACCAGGGCUACACACGUGCUACAAUGGCAUAUACAAAGAGAAGCGACCUCGCGAGAGCAAGCGGACCUCAUAAAGUAUGUCGUAGUCCGGAUUGGAGUCUGCAACUCGACUCCAUGAAGUCGGAAUCGCUAGUAAUCGUAGAUCAGAAUGCUACGGUGAAUACGUUCCCGGGCCUUGUACACACCGCCCGUCACACCAUGGGAGUGGGUUGCAAAAGAAGUAGGUAGCUUAACCUUCGGGAGGGCGCUUACCACUUUGUGAUUCAUGACUGGGGUG
rnacentral:rRNA from 1 species